rnacentral:rRNA from 1 species
CUGGUUGAUCCUGCCAGACCCGACUGCUAUCGGAUUGGGACUAAGCCAUGCGAGUCGACUCCGCAAGGGGUGGCGCACGGCUCAGUAACACGUAGUCAACCUACCCUGGGGACGGGGAUAACCUCGGGAAACUGGGGCUAAACCCCGAUGGGCCAUGGCUCCUGGAAUGGGCUAUGGCUGAAAUCUACAUGGCCCCAGGAUGGGACUGCGGCCGAUCAGGUUGUUGGUGGGGUAAUGGCCCACCAAGCCUAUAACCGGUGCGGGCUCUGAGAGGAGGAGCCCGGAGAUAGGCACUGAGACAAGGGCCCAGGUCCUAUGGGGCGCAGCAGGCGCGAAACCUCCGCAAUGGGCGAAAGCCCGACGGGGUCAGUCCGAGUGGUUCCCGCUGAGGGAACCUUUUGCCAGCUGUAAACAGGCUGGCGAAUAAGGGGUGGGCAAGUUUGGUGUCAGCCGCCGCGGUAAUACCAGCACCCCGAGUGGUCGGGACGAUUAUUGGGCCUAAAGCAUCCGUAGCCGGCCCAGUAAGUCCUCCGUUAAAUCCAACGGCUCAACCGUUGGGCUGCGGGGGAUACUGCUGGGCUAGGGGACGGGAGAGGCGAGGGGUAUUCCCGGGGUAGGGGUAAAAUCCACUGAUCCCGGGAGGACCACCAGUGGCGAAGGCGCCUCGCUAGAACGUGCCCGACGGUGAGGGAUGAAAGCUGGGGGAGCGAACCGGAUUAGAUACCCGGGUAGUCCCAGCCGUAAACGAUGUAGGCUCGGUGUUGGGCUGCCUCAGUGGCAGCCCAGUGCCGCAGGGAAGCCGUUAAGCCUACCGCCUGGGGAGUACGGCCGCAAGGCUGAAACUUAAAGGAAUUGGCGGGGGAGCACCAC